GUAACAGCCACAGGUCAGAGUCCAGGAGGAAGUGCAUUAGAGAACAAUGAGUACUGAGCAGUCAGGUGAAUGUUUACCAGCCAAGCCCUACUCUACAUGUUCGGUGACACAACCACCACAUUAACCUUAGUCCAAUCUCUUUAGAAUCUCUUUGAACUGUAAUCACUUUAUUAACUGGCAAUGUGACAUCUGAGUCCAAAUGGAACACCUGCAAAAUAUUAAAAUAAUGAUUAAAUUCAUAGUUAUUGUUUUGCACUGUAGAGGUUCCUCAGCUGAUACGACAAGGAAGCUCAGUGUGUUGGUGGGUGCAGACGUGACUCUCAGCUGCCGGUUUGAUAAACUGUCCAAGCUGGUGGAGUUGAGCGCUCUAACCAUUGAGUGGAACAUGGUGGAUAAACAUGCAGAGAAGAGCGUUGUGUACACUUUUGUGGAUGGUAGAGCACAUGGGAGCAGAGAUGGCUCUGUGGUGGAUAGAAUGAAGUUGCUAGAAAGUGAUGCCUCUCUGCAGCUUUGUAACGUGACUGUGAGAGAUGAAGGGCUGUACACCUGCAGAAUCAUCACACCUGUGGUCUACACGGAGACCACUUCACUGGAAGUGCUGGCUCUGCCUUCAGUGUUUCUCCCAGAAAAGGCAGCAGUGACAGAGGGGGAGGAGAAGACCAUACAGUGUGACAUUACAGGUUUCUAUCCAGAGAAACUUGCCGUGACAUGGUACAUUCAAAAUGGCUCCCACGCUGUCCACGCAGGUGCCAGCCACCUUUCCCGUGUCUGCACCGAAAUGGCCAUUCACAAUCCAGAUGGCACCUACAGUAUUCGCAGUGGCCUCACACUGCACUCGUCAGCCGUGAAAGAUGCAGAGAUACACAUAAUCUGCCAGGUGGAGCACCAGACCUACAGCCGGCCGUACAGCAGAUCUGUUACACUGACUGUUCAGGCUCCAUCACAGCCUCUUUACAGUGCUGUCACACUGAUAGCUGUCACCAGUGUCAUCAGUCUGCUGCUGGUCACCUCUGUCAUUGUCAUCGCGUUGAUUCUCUACAGGUAUUUCUGUAAAGCUCCACCAAGUGUUUCUGAAAUCAGCCAACCCAGCAUCAUAUAUGCUCAGGUGCAGACCGACCUCAAAUGCACCAUCCGAGGAGCAAGACAGCAGGAGCUCAAAGUGAAAUGGUUUAAAUUAAGAAGCAUCGCAGACUCAGUGGUCCAGUCAGAAUCUGAUCCCCUGUUGGUCAGUGAGGAUCUGAGUGAACAGGCUUGUCUCCAGUCAGAUGGCACACACCACACAUCUGUCCUGACUGUGUGUCUGACUGUCAAUGAAGACCUGACCGAAUACCACUGUGUGGUGCUGUGCAGGGGCAAGAGCAUCAGCAGAAAGACCACAGUCCAGGUGAAAGUGGAGCCGUCUUUCCUCCAGAUCUCCAGCAUCCCUCAGAUUCCCAAGGUGGAAAGGCUGCUGGUUCUCUGCUGUAGGGUGGAGAACUUCUACCCCCAGGACGUCGACCUGGAGUGGUCCAGGAAUGACGGGGAGCAGGUGUGCACUGUGACACACUUUGGACCUUUUUCCGACCACAACCGCCUCUUCAGCGUGUGGAGUAAGAUUGAGCUGGUCAUGGCCAGAGAGGACGAGAGUGCCGUCUACACCUGCCGUGUUUACCACUCCAGCUUCCCUGCUCCAGGUUACAAAGAUGUCCUGUACCACAUUAACACUCAAGGAACUCCUCCUAAUGUGAUGUUUAUUGACUGUGAACCGCUGUGUCCUCUGUUGAACGAAGAAUGUACACUGCACCUGUGUGUCAAAGACUUCUGUCCUGAGGACGUGUCAGUGACUUGGACUAAAGAUGGAGAAAUGGUUUCCUGCUUCAACACUCCCCCGAGCCUAAACAUCAAUGGCCUCUACUCCAUGUUCAGUUUUCUCAAACUCACCCCUAACAAGGAUGACCAGGGCUCCAGGUUCAGGUGCCAGGUGGUCCACAGCGCCCAGAGGGAGCCUGAGGAGAGGCUCUUCACCCUGUGUGCAAGCCACAACGUGCAUCUGAUAUCUGACGGCUGCUGAUGUCCUCACUAAACUUGUAUUUCAAUCUACAUGGUUUGAUUUGUGAAGGUUUGGAUGCAGAUUAGUACAGAGAGAUGAAACAGAGUUUGGGACUUAAAAA